rfam:Schistosoma haematobium scaffold306_11, whole genome shotgun sequence.
AUCCAGCUGAUGAGUCUCAAAAUUGGACGAAACACCUAUCCUGGAU